ACAGAGGGGGCAAGCGUUAUUCGGAGUUACUGGGCGUAAAGGGCGCGUAGGCGGUUUUUUAAGUGAGAUGUGUAAUCCCCGGGCUCAACCUGGGAACUGCAUCUCAGACUGGAAAGCUAGAGUGCUGGAGAGGGUGGUGGAAUUCCUCGUGUAGCGGUGAAAUGCGUAGAGAUGAGGAGGAACACCAGUGGCGAAGGCGGCCACCUGGACAGUAACUGACGCUGAGGCGCGAAAGCGUGGGUAGCAAACAG
rnacentral:rRNA from 1 species